rnacentral:rRNA from 1 species
UACGGAGGGUGCAAGCGUUGCUCGGAAUUAUUGGGCGUAAAGGGUAGGUAGGCGGUCUCAUUUGUCUGAGGUGAAAGCCUUGGGCUUAACCCAAGAAGUGCCUCAGAAACGGUGAGACUAGAGUCCUAGAGAGGGUCGUGGAAUUCCCGGUGUAGCGGUGAAAUGCGUAGAGAUCGGGAGGAACACCAGAGGCGAAGGCGGCGACCUGGAUAGGUACUGACGCUCAACUACGAAAGCGUGGGGAGCAAACAGG